CUCUCACUUAAGGGAACUGCUUGCUGUUAUAGGAGCAUAACAUUUUCUCAGCACCCUGGUUAAAGAUAACGGUACAAUGUACACACAAGUAAUACAAAAUGAAGUCGAGAGGAAGAGACUGAUAACGACUGGGGACCUCAAAGGCCUCUUGAAGGAAGUAACACUAGAACUGUGUUUUGCAAAAAAGGUGAUGAAACUCAAUCCCAGAGAGGAGAAAUUUGCC